rnacentral:rRNA from 1 species
GGGUUGUGAGGUUAAGCGACUAAGCGUACACGGUGGAUGCCCUGGCAGUCAGAGGCGAUGAAGGGCGUGCUAAUCUGCGAUAAGCGCCGGUAAGGUGAUAUGAACCGUUAUAACCGGCGAUACCCGAAUGGGGAAACCCAGUGUGACUCGUCACACUAUCAUUAACUGAAUCCAUAGGUUAAUGAGGCGAACCGGGGGAACUGAAACAUCUAAGUACCCCGAGGAAAAGAAAUCAACCGAGAUUCCCCCAGUAGCGGCGAGCGAACGGGGAGGAGCCCAGAGCCUGAAUCAGCAUGUGUGUUAGUGGAAGCGUCUGGAAAGGCGCGCGAUACAGGGUGACAGCCCCGUACACAAAAGCGCAUGUGCUGUGAGCUCGAUGAGUAGGGCGGGACACGUGGUAUCCUGUCUGAAUAUGGGGGGACCAUCCUCCAAGGCUAAAUACUCCUGACUGACCGAUAGUGAACCAGUACCGUGAGGGAAAGGCGAAAAGAACCCCGGCGAGGGGAGUGAAAAAGAACCUGAAACCGUGUACGUACAAGCAGUGGGAGCCCCACCACCAAAGCGUUUCGCUUUGUGUGGUGCACAAAGAAGCGUAACGACAGCACUGAAUGACGGUUAACGGAGCGCAAGCGACGUUCAACAUACAAAGUCAAGCAGUGGAGCGCUUUGGGGUGGGGUGACUGCGUACCUUUUGUAUAAUGGGUCAGCGACUUAUAUUCUGUAGCAAGGUUAACCGCAUAGGGGAGCCGGAGGGAAACCGAGUCUUAACCGGGCGUUAAGUUGCAGGGUAUAGACCCGAAACCCGGUGAUCUAGCCAUGGGCAGGUUGAAGGUUGGGUAACACUAACUGGAGGACCGAACCGACUAAUGUUGAAAAAUUAGCGGAUGACCUGUGGCUGGGGGUGAAAGGCCAAUCAAACCGGGAGAUAGCUGGUUCUCCCCGAAAGCUAUUUAGGUAGCGCCUCGUGAAUUCAUCUCCGGGGGUAGAGCACUGUUUCGGCUAGGGGGCCAUCCCGGCUUACCAACCCGAUGCAAACUGCGAAUACCGGAGAAUGUUAUCACGGGAGACACACGGCGGGUGCUAACGUCCGUCGUGAAGAGGGAAACAACCCAGACCGCCAGCUAAGGUCCCAAAGUCAUGGUUAAGUGGGAAACGAUGUGGGAAGGCCCAGACAGCCAGGAUGUUGGCUUAGAAGCAGCCAUCAUUUAAAGAAAGCGUAAUAGCUCACUGGUCGAGUCGGCCUGCGCGGAAGAUGUAACGGGGCUAAACCAUGCACCGAAGCUGCGGCAGCGACGCUGAUGCGUUGUUGGGUAGGGGAGCGUUCUGUAAGCCUGCGAAGGUGGCCUGUGAGGGUUGCUGGAGGUAUCAGAAGUGCGAAUGCUGACAUAAGUAACGAUAAAGCGGGUGAAAAGCCCGCUCGCCGGAAGACCAAGGGUUCCUGUCCAACGUUAAUCGGGGCAGGGUGAGUCGACCCCUAAGGCGAGGCCGAAAGGCGUAGUCGAUGGGAAACGGGUUAAUAUUCCCGUACUUGGUGUUACUGCGAAGGGGGGACGGAGAAGGCUAUGUUGGCCGGGCGACGGUUGUCCCGGUUUAAGCGUGUAGGUGUGUGUUCCAGGUAAAUCCGGUUCACUUUAACACUGAGGCGUGAUGACGAGGCACUACGGUGCUGAAGCAACAAAUGCCCUGCUUCCAGGAAAAGCCUCUAAGCAUCAGGUAACAUCAAAUCGUACCCCAAACCGACACAGGUGGUCAGGUAGAGAAUACCAAGGCGCUUGAGAGAACUCGGGUGAAGGAACUAGGCAAAAUGGUGCCGUAACUUCGGGAGAAGGCACGCUGACACGUAGGUGAAGUGAUUUACUCAUGGAGCUGAAGUCAGUCGAAGAUACCAGCUGGCUGCAACUGUUUAUUAAAAACACAGCACUGUGCAAACACGAAAGUGGACGUAUACGGUGUGACGCCUGCCCGGUGCCGGAAGGUUAAUUGAUGGGGUCAGCGCAAGCGAAGCUCCUGAUCGAAGCCCCGGUAAACGGCGGCCGUAACUAUAACGGUCCUAAGGUAGCGAAAUUCCUUGUCGGGUAAGUUCCGACCUGCACGAAUGGCGUAAUGAUGGCCAGGCUGUCUCCACCCGAGACUCAGUGAAAUUGAACUCGCUGUGAAGAUGCAGUGUACCCGCGGCAAGACGGAAAGACCCCGUGAACCUUUACUAUAGCUUGACACUGAACAUUGAGCCUUGAUGUGUAGGAUAGGUGGGAGGCUUUGAAGCGUGGACGCCAGUCUGCGUGGAGCCAACCUUGAAAUACCACCCUUUAAUGUUUGAUGUUCUAACGUGGACCCGUAAUCCGGGUUGCGGACAGUGUCUGGUGGGUAGUUUGACUGGGGCGGUCUCCUCCUAAAGAGUAACGGAGGAGCACGAAGGUUGGCUAAUCCUGGUCGGACAUCAGGAGGUUAGUGCAAUGGCAUAAGCCAGCUUGACUGCGAGCGUGACGGCGCGAGCAGGUGCGAAAGCAGGUCAUAGUGAUCCGGUGGUUCUGAAUGGAAGGGCCAUCGCUCAACGGAUAAAAGGUACUCCGGGGAUAACAGGCUGAUACCGCCCAAGAGUUCAUAUCGACGGCGGUGUUUGGCACCUCGAUGUCGGCUCAUCACAUCCUGGGGCUGAAGUAGGUCCCAAGGGUAUGGCUGUUCGCCAUUUAAAGUGGUACGCGAGCUGGGUUUAGAACGUCGUGAGACAGUUCGGUCCCUAUCUGCCGUGGGCGCUGGAGAACUGAGGGGGGCUGCUCCUAGUACGAGAGGACCGGAGUGGACGCAUCACUGGUGUUCGGGUUGUCAUGCCAAUGGCACUGCCCGGUAGCUAAAUGCGGAAGAGAUAAGUGCUGAAAGCAUCUAAGCACGAAACUUGCCCCGAGAUGAGUUCUCCCUGAGACUUAAAGUCUCCUGAAGGAACGUUGAAGACGACGACGUUGAUAGGCCGGGUGUGUAAGCGCAGCGAUGCGUUGAGCUAACCGGUACUAAUGAACCGUGAGGCUUAACCUUACAACGCCGAAG